AGCCUUCAGCAAACCAAAAGACAAGUAUUGAAGGUGAUGCCUGCCCGGUGACCCAACGUUCAACGGCCGCGGUAUCCUAACCGUGCAAAGGUAGCGCAAUCAAUUGUCCCAUAAAUCGGGACCAGUAUGAAUGGCUAAACGAGGUCUUAACUGUCUCUUACAGGCAAUCAGUGAAAUUGAUCUCCCUGUGCAAAAGCAGGGAUAACCACAUAAGACGAGAAGACCCUGUGGAACUUCAAAAACAGCAACCACCCCCAAAUACAUACACACCCACCUCGGGCACACUUAACCCACGGGGAACUGGUCUGCAUUUUUUCGGUUGGGGCGACCUUGGAGCAAAACAAAACCUCCAAAUACUGGACCAUUCCUCUAGACUAAGAGCAACUUCUCAACGUGCUAAUAGCAACCAGACCCAAUAUAAUUGAUCAAUGGACCAAGCUACCCCAGGGAUAACAGCGCAAUCUCCUCCAAGAGUCCAUAUCGACGGGGAGGUUUACGACCUCGAUGUUGGAUCAGGACAUCCUAGUGGUGCAGCAGCUGCUAAGGGUUCGUUUGUUCAACGAUUAACAGUCCU
rnacentral:rRNA from 1 species